CCCAAGGCUCCAGCUUCGCAGGUGCAGACUCAGCAGCCAUCAAGACUCGCUAUGAUUAAUGGCUUUUUCCAAUGUGUUGCCUUACGCUAAUACAGAGAGCUAACUUUUAUUAAAUUAUGGAUGAUCUGUUGGUGGAUGCUGGUCACCUACAGGCUCACAUCUGUAAGGAAGCUGCUGAAACUGGUGCAGCCUGGCUAUCUCAGAAACAAGCCAGCCUAAGCUUUGUGUUACCUUUACAUAUGGACCUCCUGCUUAUAUUGCCUUCUACCCAGAUGUUCAAGGGAGGUGUUUAGGAAAACCAUGAUGCCAGAGCCAGAGAGAUAAAGGAAACCAUUGGUCCAUAUGGAAACCAUUCAAAAAUGCACCAUAAGCCCCCCUGAACAUGUCCAAAACCAGACAGAAGUGUAUCUGAAGUCCCAAGGAACAUCUUACACAAAGGCACAAACUCAUACAACGUUAUAGCCCAGACAAAGUCACCCAGCCAUUAUCAAUACUAAAGAAGUGACCAAGGCAACAAACAAAAAUAGAAGCCAUCUCCCUGCCCCCCACAGGGGCUGGUAGUUCUCACUGACCCACCCCUCACACAGUAAUUUGGGUCCACCACAGAUAAGCCAAGAGCCACCAGGCUCUCCCAUCCCUCCAGCACAGCCCCAGAGCUAUUCCCUUCUGCCUGGAACAAGGACAAGCCUUAGAGAACAGGAAGCCCUCUGAACCACAGCCCUAGCAUUCCUAGCAAAAUAGCAGUAAAAUCAUCAUGCAAAAAGCACCCCUUACCUGCAAAGCCUUCCUCAAAGAUCUCAAGAUGACAACUUUGGGCAGUGUGCAAAGCACCCAGCACACAGUAAUUGAUAGCUUGCAGCUGAUGUCUCUCCCCACAGGUGCAGCCCAUUGGGAAAGGCUCUACCAUGAGGCAUGCCAGCAUCCCAUAAACCCUAUAAAUGCUGGGAGAGGAAGUCGUGUAGGUAGCUUUUGUUUAGUGAGGGUGCUCAGUGGGGGGGGGGUACUGUGUCUCAUCAAAUGGGCCUGGUGGGCAGCAGAAUGCUGCUGUGUGUUGCCCCUGCUGGGUGAGGAGGCUGCUGGCAAGCUCUUAUCUUUGAGUGCUGGUUACAGGUCUGCCAAAAUGUGGUGGAUGAUGUGUUUAUUGCCCAUAGUAACCAGAACAGAGUCCUUCUAUGUGGGGCAGGAGGAGAGUGACUGA
rnacentral:lncRNA from 1 species